GCAUGCCAUAAGUGUAUAAUCUAUGGCGCAUGCGUCAACUAUAAUGCCUAAACUUUCUACGCGGUUUUAAUCGUGAAAAAAAAACAAUUAUAAAUCCUGAAGGAUCAAUUAAUUGGUAUACAGUUUAAUUAAAAAAAUUAAAAACAAAAUAAAUAAAAUAAUGUGCAUUCGCGUAAAGUUAGACCAAAUACAUUUUUUCCAUCCUCCUAUAUACCUAUCGCUAUGAAGGUAUAAAAAAGAUAGGUUAAGAGGUCACAUAGGUAAUAUAAAGAAAUAAGUAAAUAUGUUCAUUAUUUAUCUUUCAAGAGAUAAUGUAGGUAUACAUUAUAAUAACAUUUUGACACAGUCGAAAUUAUAUUCCUAACAUUAGUAAAAUAACAUUUUAAUAAUUUUUUUAUAGGUUAUGUAUUGAAAUUGUUGGAAAAUUAUUUCAUGUUUUAGCUGGAAAACUACAUGGAGAAUUAUAUGCAAUACAAGAUAAUGAGCUCCAUUAAAUGAAUUCGAAUGAAACCAAACUGUUUACCAUCCAAAUUCGAUUGUCGGGCAGAUAGAAAACGAAAAUUCACUCAUAGUGAACCUCGGCCUGCAUUUGUGAAACGGCAAAGACUCACUAUUAUCAAGGAAAUUGAAGAGACGACUAAAAAUGAGAUGUGUCGUAUUAUUAUACCUUUGCCAUCUUGUAGUCAAGAUGUCCAGCCACUUGAAAAUAGGUGUAGUAAUGACAAAGCUAUCCAAGUAGCUCCAGCACAGGAACACAAAGGCAAGGCAAGUGUGUAUUGCCACAUCACCCCUUAAUAUAUCUGAAGCAAGUAUAAGUAAACAAUCAGAACCAGCAAAAAAAAAACUGUUGUUCCUGAGGACAAAUUUGACAGUGAUGAGUCAAAUGCACCAGCAACAGAAGGAUCAACUGUUGACUAUGAGUUAUCUCUCUAUAUCUCCACUCCAUCAAAGACUUGUGCACUUCAGACUAUAGUUCUCAAGAAGACUAAAAAGUUGAAAAAAUGAAUGUGUUAACAACUUUAUCUAAAGUGAAAAAUAAACAACGUUUAUAUAUUGGUCUUCCACAAGAAUUAUGUUUCAUAAUAGGCUUGAUUGAGAAACAUACAAAUGUUUCUGAACAAAAUAUUAUAUUAUGUCUGAUGAGAAUAACAUUAAAUAGAACAUUCUCUCAAUUGGCUGAUGAUUUCGAUUUAUCUGUAAGUCAAGCAAGCAAUAUAUUUUUCAACAAACUCCCAGAAAUUGCAAAUGUAAUAUCACCCCUUGUUAGACUAUAAAAAAAACAAUACAAUAAAUAUAUAUGCAGGAAGGAUAAUUGAUGUCAACUUGGUGGAAAAUAGAAAGUUUUUAGAUAGUUUGCCACCUACAAAACUCUUUAAUUAAAUAAGUAAUCCUUACUUAUAAAUAGGAAGUUUUGUAAGUAUUUUCACUCUUCAUUCAAAAACUACUGAACAGAUUUUAAUAAGACUUUUAUGCUGGUCUUCUAUGGCUAGCAACUCAUUAUUAUUUUGAUUCUGUUUUCCACAAAUGUGCUAAAUAUGGGCUUAUAUAUGAGUCGUCUAUUAUCAAAGGUGGCAAUCUGUACAUUUGGACAAAAAUUUUUUAUUGAUAUGUCAAUACAGAUUUAUUUGAAUAUAAUCGUCUCCUUCAAAGAAUACGGUUCAAAACCUGCAUUAAAUAAAGGUUAAUAGUUAACCUGUUAUUUAUCUAAGAUGUCGUUCCGAAGAGUUUUGUGACUGCCGAUGGAAUACAAAGUCAAUAAUUCGUUUUUCUGAUUUACCAAUCAUUGUCCAAAAGUCAGAUUGCCGCCUUUGAUAAUAGUCGACUCAUAUAUGAAAAGGAAUAAAUAUUAAUGUUAUGUAACCUUUGUACCUGUAUGUUAAGAAUAAUUUUUAAUAAAACAUAAUUUAAAUUGAAAUAUUAUUUUUAUUAAAUCACAUUCACUUUGUACACAUCAAUAUUUUGUACUCCCUAAAAGGAAAAUAGGUAUAAAGUUUUUUUUAAAUAUUUAACAUUACAUUUUUGUGUAAGAUUAGAAAAUUGUUAUUCUUCCAAAAAGAAACUACAUUAUCUAACAACUGUGCAACUUACUCGGAAUCAAAAUCAAUACCUACUAAUUAUAGUGACCUGAUUAGUUUUUUCAAAGUUGCUGGAUGCUACACAAAAGUAGCAAGUUUUACUUUUAGCACAAUACAUAUGCAUUUGAACUUGUGCAUAAUAUCUUUCUUUAUUUUUUUUUUGCCUUUUUAUUUAUGGAAACAGCAUUACUCACUUGCUUGUUUGUAGAUCUAUCAAAAAAACAUAAUUUAUGUUUUUUUUAGCACAGUGGGCAUUACCCUAUUAUUCAUAUUAAUUAUAUACGGCGCGGCGAUGCGAAAAUUCAUUACUGAAUUAUUUAAGAAUGAUAGGCAUAAUAUAAUAUUUUAAUUCGCGAUCUGUUUAUAAUUUUUAAUACAUAUAUGAUUUAAAAAUAAGUUAUCUUUAAUAUUUUUAAUUUUGUGAUUUAUGGGGUGGUCACUAUUAUAAAAAUAGAAAUUUUGAGGAAAUAUAAAUGUUUAAUACAAAUUAUUUUGAUAAUCGAAAUAAAUUCAUAUCAAUCCAAAUUCAUAUUUGAACUAUGAAAAUUGUAUGGUAUGUAAACAGAAAUAUAUUUUAUAAUUAUAA